rnacentral:lncRNA from 1 species
UUUCUCUGAUAAGUAUUUUUUUUAGAAGAAAAGGGCUCAACACCCCGGUUCCAUUGCAUGCCACGAAACCACCGAACAUCUUUGGUUUUGGAGCUACAAGGCGCGCGGGGAAAAACAUCAGAGAAGCUGCCCCAACAAAAUGAAAAAAUCACACAGUCUACACUCUUGAAGGAGCAAAAGAGACAAAGAGCGAAGACCACACCCAGUAAGGGCUACAACCAGCAUACAUAUUUAGAGGUUAAGAAUCACGACCAGCUAAUAAAUCUAUGUCUUCAUAGCGAGAAGCCACCCCCGAAGCAAGGAGUCCUUUCACAGCACUGGUUCAGUCCUAGCCAGGGUGAGGAGAGGCGGUGCUCGCGCCAAAUGUUCCAUCCUUUGCACCAGGAGACGACAUCUCCUCUUGGCGGGAUCCGCGCACCUGAUCUCCCACAAGGUUAAAAAGGAAGCUGCCUUUUGCCACAUAACCUGCAUCCCAAGCCAAGGCACAACAUUAAAGCAAAUAUCGUUACGAUAUCUCUAGAGAGUCCAUAAUGCAGCUGCAUGAAGCAUAAUAUCUGCAGUUUUGUUGUCAUUUCUAGCCCACCAAUCCAGAAGCCCAUGCGAGUUAAGCUCAAUGUUGCUCCCUAUGGGGCUAAAAAUCUCUCUCCAGAGUUCUCUCGCAACCACACAAUAAAAAAGAAGAUGAUUAACCGAUUCUGCUUCAUUACAGAACAGGCAGGUAGUAUCAGCUACAUGCUGUCUUUUCAGAAGAUUGUCUCUGGUGAGUAGCUUGUUUCUCACAAGCAACCAGAGAAAUAUCUGAAUUCUCUGAGGAACAUUAGCUUUCCAGAUCAUCAUAAUAUUAUUUGGAGUCACUCCUCUAAAAUUCACAAAAUUAUAAUAAGAUUUAACAGUGUAUAUCCCUUAGGCUCCAGAUCCCAAAUAAUAGUGUCAUCACAAUCAUUUAAGCUCAGAUCCUUGACUACAAUGAAAAGCUCAUUCCAAGCAGCAAGCAUGUCCGGCGAAAAACAUCUCCUAAAGUUAAUUUUCAGGGUCACGCCAUCCCACACCUCACUGAUGGAGACAUUGGUAGUAUUGGCAAUAUUAUACAACUCCCAAAAACUAGUUGCAAGUAUAGAAUUGCCAGUCCAACGGUCUUCCCAAAACCUAACACUCUUGCCAUUACCCACCUUCCAGGAAAAGCCAAUUUUUGCAGCUUUAAUAGCCCAAAGUAUGCCUUUCCAAAGGGGGGAGGCUCCAAUAUCAGGGCAGGCAAAAAUGUUAGGUUUGCAAGUUUUAUAUUUGGCAUCAAUGAUUUGUUUCCAAAUUUUACCAUCAUCGUUGAAAUAUCUCUUAGCCCACGAAGCUAGCAGGCUGAGAUUCAUAUCAGCAAUGUCAGGGAUGCCCAGCCCACCAUACUGUUUCUUCAAGGCAAUAUUUCCCCAAGCAGCUAGGUGGUAUUUAUGAUGACCUCCAUAGUCAUCCCAAAAGCAGUGAGCAAGUUGAGAGUCUAUCAUAUUAGUGGCCCACUUAGGGAAUUUAAUAAUUCUCAUAAGAUAGCAGGGAAUUCUAGAUAAACAAGACUGGACAAGGGUAAGCCGUUUACCAGAGGAAAGUAAUCUCCCUCACCAACUGGCUCCCUUCUUAAUAAUUUUAUCUACAGUGGGUUGUAAGUCCUAUUUUCUAAGUUUAUUAUAAUGAAGAGGGGCCCCUAAAUAUUUGAUAGGGAAAUCUCCAAGUUUACACCCCAGGACCUGAGCAAACAAAUUUGCUUCCUCACGGUCAAUGUUAAUUGGAACCAGAUCACAUUUAUGGAAAUUGAUCCUCAUUCUUGAUAACUGUUCAAAACAAGACAAUAACCACUUAAGGUUUUUAGCAAAAGAAAGGUUUUUGCCCAAAAAGAGCAAAGUGUCGUCUGCAUAUUGCAUGCUAAUGAUGCCCGCAGGGUUUGUGACAAGAAAAAGGCCUUCUACUUUGUUAUUAAUAGAGGCUUUAAUUAAAAUUAUAGUAAAUACAUCAACAACUAGAUUGAAAAGGAGGGGGGAAAAGGGAUCUCCUUGUCUGGCACCCUUGCCAGGGACAAAGAACUCACUGUUGCUGUCAUUGACUCUGACACCAACAGAGCCUUUGAAAAUGAGAGAUUCCACUUUACCCAUCCACUUAUUGCUAAAACCCCUCCUCUUCAUCAUAUCCAUAAUGAAUUCUCUAUUGAUCAUGUCACAGGCUUUCUCAUAAUCUAGUUUAAAAACGAAGCCAGACUGCUUGCUAGAGUGCAUAGAAUGAAUAAUUUCAUGUGCAGCAAUAAUACUAUUAGCAAUAAAUCACCCUUUAAUAAAGGCUAUCUGGUUAGGAGCUAUUAGAUCAUUGCAAAUGGGGCCAAAUUUGGUUGUGGCACAUUUUGCAAAGAUUUUAAAACUACAAUUAAUCAUGGCAAGAGGCCUAAAUUUCUCCAUUCUAACUGCCUUAGCCUCUUUAGGAACCAGGGUUAGCAGGGAGAAAUUAAGCCUAUACAGGUCUAAUUCUCCUUUCUCCCAAUCCUGGAAUAGACCAAAUAGGUUGCCUUUAAUAAGGUCCCAGAAUUGUUGAUAAAAUAAAAAAGGAAAUCCAUCCGGGCCAGGUGCUCCUUCAACAUAUGAGCUGAAUACAGCAUCCUUAAUUUCCUUCUCAGUAAAAGCAGCGUCCAAAAUAUUGUUAUGAACUUCUGAGACUAAUUCAUUCUCACUCCAAAAGUCAUCUUUCAAAGUGAUAUCUAUUUUAUCCAUGAAGCCAAAUAACUUUUUAUAGUAAUUAACAGCAGUACUCAUAAUAUCUUCUGGGCCAGUAACAAUACCUUCAUCAUUUUACAGCAUCAAGAUCUAUUUCUUCCUCCUUUUUUGGCUUGCCAUAGCUUUAAAGUAUCCAGUGUUGAGAUCACCUUCCAGGAUCUCCCUCUCCCUGGACCUCUGUCUAGCUUUUAUCUCUUCUUUUUUCCAGAUAUCAUUCAGCUCACCUGCAAUAUUUUUUAUCCUCUGCUUAGAGUUAGGUGAGAGAGGAUGAGACUCAGCAAUAAUAUCAAGGCAGUUAUAUUCAGCCACCAAGGCAUGUUUUUGCCUGUUUUGCUCUACCUCAAAAUUGGCACACUAGCCUUUAAUAGCUUUCCUGGUAUUUCUAAUAUUAAACUGCCAAAUAUCAAUGGCUUUGGUAAAGUAACAUUUAGUAUUCCAGGCUUUAUGGACUACCUCCCUAAAGCCUUCUACUUCAAGAAACCAUUUCUCAAAUCUAAAAGCUUUCUCUUUAGGGGUGGAGAAAGCACAAGUGUUCAAUACCAUAGGGGUGUGAUCACUUCCAACCCUGGGAAGAGCUCUGAGCUGAACAUUAGGAAACGAUGUUGCCCAGUUAGUGGACAUGAAAACCCUAUCUAUAGUGGCCAUUACCAAGGAGUCUUGGUUGUUGCCCCAGGUGUAUUUCCUGCCAUUAAUCUUUAGCUCAAGAAGAUCAAAUUUAUUAAUCCAGUCAUUGAACAUGUCUGCCUAGUGCUGGUUGAUCAGACCAGUGUUUUUCUCACUGGCCUCCCUAAUCAAAUUAAAAUCCCCACCUACUAGAGUUGGACCAGUCCACCCAGUAAGCAAGUUGUGCAUUUCAUUAAUAAAAUCUAGUUUGUACUGAUCAUAAGCAGGACCAUAAAUGGAGAUCAGUCUCCAGGAAGUCCCAUCUUGCUUGUUUUGAAGCAAGCAAGAGACACUGUAAGUGUGUAUGUCACAGCAAACAAUGUCAAAAAGAUCUCCCCUAAUCCCUACCAGGAUGCCUCCAGCAGUGUUAUUAGCAGGGAGCCAUUUCCAAGUGUAACAGGAUCUAAUGUCAAAAACUUCUAAUUGAAGAGGGGGCAAAGUCUUCUUUCUUAGACUCUGAAAUACUAAUAAAAUCAGGCUUAUGAGCUAUAAUAAGCUCCUUCAGUUUGUUACAUUUGAUGGACCCAUUCAAGCCUCUAAUGUUCCAAAAUAGACCAAUCAUUUAAUAAUAAAAUCAAGUUUUCUCCUACUACUACUAGAUUUUGCAUAUUUGACCUCAAUCCAGGGGGAAUCUAGUUCUGGAUCCACAUUCAUAUGUGGGCUAGCACCAGUUUCAGACUGAGUCCCUGGAUUUGUGGAAACAAAAUUAAAUUCUUCACCAGAUACAUGUAUGUUUGCUGGAAGAAAAACUUCAGGAUUAUCUUGAUUAAACUUAUCAAGUCUCCGAAGCUCAAUGUUCUUGAUCACAACAAUAUUCUUAUUAAUAUUGCACCCACUAGAGCUCAAAUUAAUACCUGAGCAAUCAGCAGUGGAGAUAAGAACAUCAUCAUCCAGAUAAGCAAAAGAGUUUUGAGAACUUUUUUUUACCUUUGUUUGGCACCUCGAUCCAUUUUAGUUCCUGGGCCUUUUGCAGAGUAGGCCUCUCAUCCUUCCUGUUUCUAGUGCUGGCCCUAGUAGCAACCACAUGGCCCCACUGUUUGUUUUUAUCAGCUAUGUUCUGAGGAAGAGAGUGAUCUUGUGUGAUAGCAGCC